GCCCCGGUCGUAUAGCCCGGACAAGUAUGCGGGCCUCUCGAGCCCGUGACCCGGGUUCAAAUCCCGGCCGGGGCACCA
rnacentral:tRNA from 1 species